UUGCUCCUGGCCGAUGGACUGAAGUAAACAUAGAGAAAAAGGUGCAUACAGUCAUCAUUGUCAUCAGCAACUGGAGAUGGACUAGAAGAAUGUAAUGGAGCACACAUCUGGCAGCGUGACAUCCUUCCGAUGGGGUGCAAUGUGCCCUCCGAGCACAGAAUCAUCACUGUGGAUUCCUGCUCCAGUCCUGUGGGCACGAGCUGUACUGUGUGCACUCAGGAGAGCCAGAAAGGAGCACGGUGUCAUCACCUGAGGGGAAACAAAAAUCAGAAACGAGGAGGGGAAAUUUUGGUGCUUAUUUU